rnacentral:lncRNA from 1 species
CCACCUCUAUCAUCACCUCCAAAAUCAUCGACCACCAUCUCCAACCACUAUAUAGAUCACCAAUCACCCAUCUUUAAAAACCGCCACCACCAUCUCUGACCAUUCUCUUCACCACUGACCACCCACCACUAUCUAUGAUCACCACUAUCAUCUCUAAUCAUCUCCAUCACCAUCAUUCAUCCACUAUCUCUGGCCACUACUAGCACUACCGUCCACCCACCUUAGACAACCGCCACCAUCAUCUCCAACAAUUGCCAUCACCAUUGGAAAUGCUUGACAUGAAAUGAAGAAAUAACAGAUGCCUUGGUUUUAUUAGUUGAACUUGUUUUUUUAUAAUACGUUCUCACUCCUAUAUUUAGUGUUGUUUAGUGCAAAUAAAUUCUCAUAAAAUAUUACUCCAUUAAUCUCCUUUUAAAUGUUGCAUUUGAUUUGUGCAUAAUUAUUAAGAAAACAAUUAGUUGUUAUUAUAUUACACAUGUGAGUUCCAC